UACGUAGGGUGCAAGCGUUGUCCGGAUUUAUUGGGCGUAAAGAGCUCGUAGGCGGUCUGUCGCGUCGGAUGUGAAAAUCCAGGGCUCAACCCUGGACCUGCAUUCGAUACGGGCAGACUAGAGUUCGGUAGGGGAGACUGGAAUUCCUGGUGUAGCGGUGAAAUGCGCAGAUAUCAGGAGGAACACCGGUGGCGAAGGCGGGUCUCUGGGCCGUAACUGACGCUGAGGAGCGAAAGCGUGGGGAGCGAACAGG
rnacentral:rRNA from 1 species